rnacentral:rRNA from 1 species
CAAAUGACUCUCGGCAACGGAUAUCUCGGCUCACGCAUCGAUGAAGAACGUAGCAAAAUGCGAUACUUGGUGUGAAUUGCAGAAUCCCGUGAACCAUCGAGUUUUUGAACGCAAGUUGCGCCCAAAGCCAUCCGGCUAAGGGCACGCCUGCCUGGGCGUCACGCC